rnacentral:rRNA from 1 species
GACGAACGCUGGCGGCGUGCCUAAUACAUGCAAGUUCAGCGCUGAAGGUUGGUACUUGUACCAACUGGAUGAGCAGCGAACGGGUGAGUAACGCGUGGGGAAUCUGCCUUUGAGCGGGGGACAACAUUUGGAAACGAAUGCUAAUACCGCAUAAAAACUUUAAACACAAGUUUUAAGUUUGAAAGAUGCAAUUGCAUCACUCAAAGAUGAUCCCGCGUUGUAUUAGCUAGUUGGUGAGGUAAAGGCUCACCAAGGCGAUGAUACAUAGCCGACCUGAGAGGGUGAUCGGCCACAUUGGGACUGAGACACGGCCCAAACUCCUACGGGAGGCAGCAGUAGGGAAUCUUCGGCAAUGGACGAAAGUCUGACCGAGCAACGCCGCGUGAGUGAAGAAGGUUUUCGGAUCGUAAAACUCGGUUGGUAGAGAAGAACGUUGGUGAGAGUGGAAAGCUCAUCAAGUGACGGUAACUACCCAGAAAGGGACGGCUAACUACGUG